rnacentral:rRNA from 1 species
UGGGGAAUAUUGGACAAUGGGGGGAACCCUGAUCCAGCCAUGCCGCGUGUGUGAAGAAGGCCUUAUGGUUGUAAAGCACUUUAAGCAGUGAAGAAUACAUCAUGGCUAAUAUCCGUGAUGAAUGACAUUAGCUGCAGAAUAAGCACCGGCUAACUCUGUGCCAGCAGCCGCGGUAAUACAGAGGGUGCGAGCGUUAAUCGGAAUUACUGGGCGUAAAGCGAGCGUAGGUGGUUUAUUAAGUCAGAUGUGAAAUCCCUGGGCUUAACCUAGGAACUGCAUCUGAUACUGACAAACUAGAGUAGGUGAGGGGAAAGUAGAAUUCCAGGUGUAGCGGUGAAAUGCGUAGAGAUCUGGAGGAAUACCGAUGGCGAAGGCAGCUUUCUGGCAUCAUACUGACACUGAGGUUCGAAAGCGUGGGUAGCAAACAGGAUUAGAUACCCUGGUAGUCCACGCCGUAAACGAUGUCUACCAGUCGUUGGGUCUUUUAAAGACUUAGUGACGCAGUUAACGCGAUAAGUAGACCGCCUGGGGAGUACGGCCGCAAGGUUA